GUUUCAAUGACUAUAACAUGUGCAAGCUAAAAGCAGCAACAGUGGAACAGAUUAAAGCAACUAAACCAUAGCAUGUUGGUCAGCAAACUUAAAGUUCUAAAAUAGAUCAAGAGUAUUUGCAGCUUCAAAAUUUAAGGCGCAAAUAUGUGAGAGCUGACAAUACUAAUAAUAAUAAAUAAAUAAUAAUAGCACACCAUGCCGCAUUAAAAAUUUCAGGAACCCUUAAUUCCCUCAUGGCAUUUGUU
rnacentral:misc_RNA from 1 species